rnacentral:misc_RNA from 1 species
GGGUUUUAUAUAUAUAUGGUACCUGAAUUUUGCAGGGUCAGAACUGGAGAUGGUUCUUGAUCGCUCAGAAAUGGAGGCAGGAUUCGUUUGAAGGAGAAGAAAUUCAAGUUCACCCACAUCGCCAUUGCAGCCGAUGUUCUUGCAGCCAUAGCCGAAAGGAGUAGCAGGUCCAGCACGUUCCUUUUCUGCGGCUGGUUUUGCAAAAAAAUCAAGACCUUCCUCUUCCAAUCUUGCCACGACCUCCUUAUUAACCCCAUGAUUAACGACCUUGAAGAAGCCAUAAUCCUCGCAUGCUCUUACGAUCAGCUCAGAAAUAAUUGACCUAUCAUGAAGAGAAAGAUCAAUGGUGGGAAUACCUAAUGCUCUGGUUUUCUUGGUGCGCAUUGGAGUUGGAGAAGGCACGACCAUUGUUGCUUACAAGAAAUCAAAAGAAAUAG